AGUGAACGCUGGCGGUAGGCCUAACACAUGCAAGUCGAACGGCAGCACAGUAAGAGCUUGCUCUUACGGGUGGCGAGUGGCGGACGGGUGAGGAAUACAUCGGAAUCUACUUUUUCGUGGGGGAUAACGUAGGGAAACUUACGCUAAUACCGCAUACGACCUACGGGUGAAAGCAGGGGAUCUUCGGACCUUGCGCGAUUGAAUGAGCCGAUGUCGGAUUAGCUAGUUGGCGGGGUAAAGGCCCACCAAGGCGACGAUCCGUAGCUGGUCUGAGAGGAUGAUCAGCCACACUGGAACUGAAACACGGUCCAGACUCCUACGGGAGGCAGCAGUGGGGAAUAUUGGACAAUGGGCGCAAGCCUGAUCCAGCCAUACCGCGUGGGUGAAGAAGGCCUUCGGGUUGUAAAGCCCUUUUGUUGGGAAAGAAAAGCAGCAGGUUAAUACCCCGCUGUUCUGACGGUACCCAAAGAAUAAGCACCGGCUAACUUCGCG
rnacentral:rRNA from 1 species